rnacentral:rRNA from 1 species
CGGUAAUUCCAGCUCCAAUAGCGUAUACUAAAGUUGUUGCAGUUAAAAAGCUCGUAGUUGGAUUUCUGCGGGGACGGAGCGGCCGGACGCAACUUGCGUCUCGAGCUAGCGCUUUCCCCGCAUCCUGCCGCGAACCGUGCUACCAUUAGUUUGGUGGCGCUGGGGAUCGGCUCGAUUACUUUGAGAAAAAUAGAGUGUUCAAAGCAGGCCACACGCCUUGAAUAAGUUAGCAUGGAAUAAUGACUAAGGACUUUGGUUCUUUUCGUUGGUGUUCGGGACUGAAGUAAUGAUUGAUAGGGACAGUUGGGGCGGUCCGUAUUCCAAAGCGAGAGGUGAAAUUCUUAGACCUUCGGAAGACGAACAGCUGCGAAAGCGUUCCGCAAGGAUGUUCCCUUUGAUCAAGAACGAAAGUUGGGGGAUCGAAGACGAUCAGAUACCGUCGUAGUCUCAACUAUAAACUAUACCAGCUAGGGAUCGGCCAACGUUUAAUUAUUCGACUUGGUCGGCACCUUAUGAGAAAUCAAAGCAUCUGGGCUCCGGGGGGAGUAUAGUCGCAAGGCUGAAACUUAAAGGAAUUGACGGAAGGGCACCACCAGGCGUGGAGCCUGUGGCUUAAUUUGACUCAACACGGGAAAACUUACCAGGUCCAGACAUAGGAAGGAUUGACAGAUUGAUAGCUCUUUCUUGAUUCUGUGGGUGGUGGUGCAUGGCCGUUUUUAGUCGGUGAAGUGAUUUGUCUGCUUAAUUGCGUUAACGGACGAGACCCCAGCCUGCUAAAUAGCGCGGCCGAGCUUUGCUCGGUACGAGCUUCUUAGAGGGACCAUGAUGCGCGAUAGCACAAGGAAGUUUGGGGCAACAACAGGUCUGUGGUGCCCUUAGAUGUUCUGGGCCGCACACGGGCUACACUGGCGCCUGCAACGAGCAUAUCAGCUGGCCCGAGAGGGUCUUGGCUAAUCUUUGGAACCGGCGCCGUGCUUGGGAUUGACCAUUGCAAUUGUUGGUCAUGCAACGAGGAAUGCCUUGUAAACGCGAGUCAUCAGCUCGCAUUGAAUACGUCCCUGCCCUUUGUACACACCGCCCGUCGCUCCUACCGAUGAAUGUUCCGAUGAAAUUUUCGGAGAGCGCCGGAGAACGGGGCUCUGCCCUGCAGAACUGGAGGCUCAAAGUCACUUAAAUCUGAACAUUUCGAGGAAGGAGAAGUCGUAACAAGGUAGCCG